UGAAAUACGUAGAUAUCAGGAAGAACACCAGUGGCGAAGGCGGUCUUCUGGGCUGCAUCUGACGCUCAUGUACGAAAGCUGGGGUAGCGAACGGGAUUAGAUACCCCGGUAGUCCCAGCUGUAAACGAUGGUCACUAGGUGUUUGGCGGUUCGAAUCCGUCAGUGCCGGAGUUAACGUAUUAAGUGACCCGCCUGGGGAAUACGGUCGCAAGACUGAAACUCAAAGGAAUUGACGGGGGCCCGCACAAGCGGUGGAGCAUGUGGUUUAAUUCGAUGCAACGCGAAGAACCUUACCGAGAAUUGACAUCCCGUGACUACCUGUGAGAGCAGGGUUUGGUACUUUGUAUCACACGGAGACAGGUGGUGCAUGGCUGUCGUCAGCUCGUGUCGUGAGAUGUUGGGUUAAGUCCCGCAACGAGCGCAACCCUUGUCCUUAGUUGCCAGCAAGUGAUGUUGGGGACUCUAAGGAGACUGCCGGUGAAAGUCGGAGGAAGGUGGGGAUGACGUCAAGUCCUCAUGCCCUUU
rnacentral:rRNA from 1 species